GAACGGCGAGCCAGAUUCAGGAAGUUGUGCCUCUGACAUCAGGGGCAGGACAGAGUUGGAGCGAAACCUCAACUAUGCCAGGCGUCGGCCCGCAGGAAGGCAGGGAACACAGAGGGCGCUGUCCUUGGCCGCGGCGGCAGGGCCCAGGGCGCUGUCAGACGGGGCAGCACCCAGGAGAUUCCCUGGGCCUGCAGGAAGCCCUUCCGCGGACCGAAAGAUUUUUCCCCAUUUUGGAGAUGAAGAAACUGAGACUCAAAGCAGCUGAGUGACCUUCCCAAGGACACACACUGAACUGAGCGGUGAUCAGGAUCUGAAUGCACAGGGCUGGUGUUCAGCGAUUGUUUACUACGUUGAAUGUGACCUCCAGGAAAGCAGUUCUGGCCGAGAUCCCUGACAAUGCAGAGCAAGAAGUAAUGUGGAAGGAGGCUCCCCAAGCUGGCUGGCCAUUGUGCUGCUGUGUGUGGAGGUGCUGUCAGUGGCAUGCCCAAACCCAAAGCUGGAAGAGGAAUAAAUUACAAGUGGUCAAGGUUGCAUCCUUUUGAGCCCAGGACCUGCUUGUAAGCCGAGAG
rnacentral:sRNA from 1 species